GUCUUAACCCAGCAGUCCAACUCCAGAGGCUCUGCUGUCAACUAUGCUCCACUCCCUUUAAUUUCAGAUUUGCAAAACACAACACAGAAGUCCUACCACAAAAUGAAAGACAAAUGACAAAAUGGAGAAGUAUUUAUUACAUGUGUAAUGUAUCAUGUAAAGCCAUUUAAUUCACUUCAUGAAGCAAGUAUACACCCGAUUUCAAAAUAUCACAAAGAUGGC